AUCAUCCAUGCUCAGUUUAAAGAAUUUAGGGAAUAUCAAUCAACCAUAAUCCUACCACAUGGAGGUAAGAAUAUUUUCGUAUUUGGAUUCUUUUUCCAUUUUACCUAUGAUUCACUGAGCACAUUGUGCUUUCUCUGUUUCCUGGCUUUUCUCAACAGCUCUCUCUGCACCUCGCUCCACUACAACCUGUCAAAAGCUCACCCGCCCUUCGGUUACCUCCAAGAGCACCUGCUCCAGGAAGCAUUGCAGGUCUCUCAAGACAACAGCCAAGAACUUCAAAGGAGCACCAUUCCUGGAGGAUUUGCUCAUCCACCUGUCAUGGUCUGGCUACGGAGCCUUCGAGCAGGGAGGAAACGGCCGGCCGACUCAGAGCCCGGAACAUCUGUUUCCUGUGCGUGCUGUCAAGUGGGGAAGCCGGGGCCUCGCACUCACCUCUGGCUCGGAGGGGUUGGGCCCUUGGGGAAUGGGCUGCAGCUGACAGCAUGGACUCCAGUCUGUCACGAGUGCUGGAAGAAGGUGCUGGCAGGAAGCAUUGCCAGCACGGAAAGGUGAACCAGGAUGGAGAACCUGGACUCAGAGAUGUUAAGUAAACUGGACUGGGUCACACAGCCAGGCAGUCCUGAUCUGAGGUCCCAACGGGCUCCCUCGGUCCCCAGGGUGGCCCUUGUGGCUCCUCUAAGUCUCUGUGGGAAGCCCAGUUCUUCCAGGUGUCGCUGUUUUCUGUUUCUAUUCUUUAUUUAAGCCCUGGGGGUUGGGGUGAGAGGCAAAGGGGCGGCUGUGCUGGUUUUGGCUCAACCAACUUGCCUUUGCACCUCGUCCAGACACCCAAUUCCUUUCGCCGAUGAAUUGAGAGGUGUCCGACUGGGUCACAAAGAAGUUUUCUAGGCUGACUGUAAACUCGGAAGGAGGCGGUGUCCCUGGACCUGUCCCCUUCAGGUGGAGGCUAUGCCACCGCCACGUCCACAUCUGCCCCUGUCCCACGGAGCCU
rnacentral:lncRNA from 1 species